rnacentral:rRNA from 1 species
UACGUAGGUGGCGAGCGUUGUCCGGAAUUACUGGGUGUAAAGGGCGUGUAGGCGGGAAGGUAAGUCAGAUGUGAAAUACCGGGGCUCAACUCCGGGGCUGCAUUUGAAACUAUCUUUCUUGAGUGCAGGAGAGGAAAGCGGAAUUCCUAGUGUAGCGGUGAAAUGCGUAGAUAUUAGGAGGAACACCAGUGGCGAAGGCGGCUUUCUGGACUGUAACUGACGCUGAGGCGCGAAAGCAUGGGGAGCGAACAGG